UACGUAGGGGGCAAGCGUUGUCCGGAUUUAUUGGGCGUAAAGAGCGUGUAGGCGGCCAUGUAGGUCCGUUGUGAAAACUCGAGGCUCAACCUCGAGACGCCGAUGGAAACCAUGUGGCUAGAGUCCGGAAGAGGAGAGUGGAAUUCCUGGUGUAGCGGUGAAAUGCGCAGAUAUCAGGAAGAACACCCGUGGCUAAGGCGGCUCUCUAGUACGGUACUGACGCUGAGACGCGAAAGCGUGGGGAGCGAUCCGG
rnacentral:rRNA from 1 species